rnacentral:rRNA from 1 species
UAUACAAUAUAAGAGCAUACGAUGAAUGCCUUGACACCAAAAGACGAUGAAGGACGUUGCAGGGUGCGAUAAGUUUCGGUGAGGUCCCAAGCAACCUUUGACCCGAAAAUUUCCGAAUGGGGGAACCCAACUUGAGUAAUGUCGAGUUACCAUAUACUGAAUACAUAGGUAUAUGGGGAAGACCUGGCGAAGUGAAACAUCUCAGUAGCCAGAGGAAAAGAAAGAAGUAAAAGCUAUUGAUUUUCAUUCACAGAUUGUGCCGUAAGGUUUGAUCUGUGUAUUGAAGAUCUAUAGUUCGAUUCCGUUAGUAGUGGCGAGCGAACGCGGAACAGCCUAAACCUAUAUUAUGUUGGGCGAUGGAUUUAUUAGUUUUCGAACUUAUUUUGACAUCGUCCUUAAAGGACAGACCGUUGUAUUAUAGGUGUUGUAGGACAGAGAUCUCGGUGAUCUGUAGAACCGGAUUUGUAAUUUAUAUAUAGCCGAAGACUCCUGGAAAGGAGCAUCAUAGAGGGUGAUAAUCCCGUAGGCGAAAUAUAUAGACUUAUGAAUAUCUUUGUUCCUGAGUAGGGCGGAACACGUGAAAUUCCGUUUGAAUCUGCCGUGACUAUGCGGUAAGGCUAAAUACUUUUGGUGAUCGAUAGUGAACUAGUACCGUGAGGGAAAGGUGAAAAGUAGCCCGGAGAGGGCGGUGAAAUAGUACCUGAAAUCGUAUGCUUACAAUGAGCUGGAGUCCUAAGUCACUUUCGGGUGACGGGAUGACAGUGUUCCUAUUGAAGAAUGAGCCUGUGAGUAUGCUGUUAGUUGCAAGCUUAAGGACCUAUGGUCCGAAGGCGUAGCGAAAGCGAGUCUUAACCGGCGAUUAAGUAGCUAACACAUAACCCGAAACUAGGUGAGCAAUCCAUGGCCAGGUUGAACUCUGUCGAAAGACAGAGGGAGGACCGAACACACGCGCCGUGCAACACGCGGUGAUGAGCUGUGGAUAGCGGAGAAAUUCCAAUCGAACCUAGUAAUAGCUGGUUCUCCUCGAAAUAGCUUUAGGGCUAGCUGUAUGUGUUCCCUCUGGGGGUAGAGCACUGGAUGAGGUCGGGGUCCUUCGGGAUACCCACCUCAAUCAAACUCCGAAUACCAGAGAUUAAAAGCAUGCAAGUCAGACUAUGGGGGCUAAGCUUCAUAGUCAAAAGGGAAACAGCCCAGAUCGCAAACUAAGGUCCCUAAAUUAUCACUAAGUGUAAAAGGAAGUGUUAACUCUUAUACAACCAGGAGGUUGGCUUAGAAGCAGCCACCCUUUAAAGAUAGCGUAAUAGCUCACUGGUCAAGAGUUUUCGCACCUAAAAUGUACCGGGGCUAAGUGAUAUACCGAAGUUGCGAAUUCUAUAUUUUUUUAAUAUAGAGUGGUAGAGGAGCGUUCCAAACUGCAGUGAAGCCGGAUCCGUGAGGGCCGGUGGAGCGUUUGGAAGUGAGAAUGCAGGCACAAGUAGCAAAAAUGGGUGUGAAAGACAUCCACGCCGAAAACCCAAGGUUUCCAGGGCAACGAGAAUCGUCCCUGGGUUAGUCGAUCCUAAGGCCAGGCCGAAAGGCGUAACCGAUGGAAGAGCAGGUUAAUAUUCCUGCACUUGGUAUAGUUUGUAUAUGUAUGUAUGUUUCAAAGGUGUGAGCGUUGUAUGGCUACACGUUUCGCAAGAUGGAGACCAAUUCUUCGGAGGCGGUCAACUCGCGUUAGAGAGGCAUCUAGAAGAGUACAUAUGCGCUAGGCUAUAUCAAAUCGUACCGCAAACCGACUCAGGUAGGUAGGUCGAGAAGACCAAGGCGAACAAGAGAAACAUGGUUAAGGAACUCGGCAAAACAGCGGCCGUAACUUCGGGAUAAGGCCUGCCCCAGCAAUGGGGCCGCAGCUAAAGACUCCAUGCGACUGUUUACCAAAAACACAGCUCCCUGCAAAAGCGCAAGCUGAAGUAUAGGGGGCGAUGCCUGGCCAGUGUCAGAACGUUAAGGGGAGGGGUGAUCUCACUUCGGUGAGCGUAGCUCUGAUCUGAAGCGCUGAUGAACGCCGGCGGUAACUAUAACCGUCCUAAGGUAGCGAAAUUCCUUGUCGGGUAAGUUCCGACCCGCACGAAUGGCAUAACGGUGUGGAGACUGUCUUAACCGUGUACUUGGCGAAAAUGCAAGUGUCGUGAAGAUGCGACAUACCCGCAGCUAGACGAAAAGACCCCGUGAAGCUUUACUACAACUUGACAUUGGUACAUUAUUUCAUUUGUUCAGCAUAGGUGGGAGCCUUCGGGCACCAGUGAGAUACCACCCUUGUGUUGUGAUGUGCCUAAUUUUUUCGCAUGAAUCUGCGAAAGAAGACAGUGUCUGGUGGGUAGUUUAACUGGGGCGGUUGCCUCCCAAAAUGUAACGGAGGCGUUUACAAAGGUUGGCUUGAUCCGGAUGGAAAUCGGAUUGGACGUGCAAACGCAUAAGCCAGCUUUACUGCAAGGGCUACCACCCGAGCAGUUACGAAAGUAGAAGUUAGUGAUCCGACCGUACGAUAUAGGACGGCGGAAGCUCAACGGAUAAAAGUUACUCCGGGGAUAACAGGCUGAUAGCGCCCAAGCGUCCAUAGCGACGGCGCUGUUUGGCACCUCGAUGUCGGCUCAUCGCAUCCUGGGGGUGGAGAAGCUCCCAAGGGUUAGGCUGUUCGCCUAUUAAAGCGGUACGCGAGCUGGGUUCAGAACGUCGUGAGACAGUUCGGUCUCCUAUCUGCUGUGGGCGUCGAAUGUUGAAGGAACUCAUCCCUAGUACGAGAGGACCGGGAUGGACAAACCUCUGGUCGACCAGCUGUUCUGCCAAGAGCACUGCUGGGUAGCUAAGUUCGGCACGGAUAAGCGCUGAAAGCAUCUAAGCGCGAAGCCGUUCCUAAGAUUAACAUUCAUUAUUAGAUUCGUUCGAGACGAGGACGUUGAUAGGCACUAAGUGUAAGUCCAGCAAUGGAUUGAGCUGAGGUGUACUAAUAAAUCGAGUAUACAGCGAA